rnacentral:rRNA from 1 species
ACGGGGGGUGCAAGCGUUGCUCGGAAUUACUGGGCGUAAAGCGCACGCAGGCGGUGUGCAAGGUCGGAUGUGAAAGCCCAGGGCUCAACCCUGGAACUGCAUUCGAAACCGGCACGCUAGAGUUCGAGAGAGGGUGGUGGAAUUCCUGGUGUAGAGGUGAAAUUCGUUGAUAUCAGGAGGAACACCGGCGGCGAAGGCGGCCACCUGGCUCGAUACUGACGCUCAUGUGCGAAAGCGUGGGGAGCAAACAGG